rnacentral:misc_RNA from 1 species
GAUGAAGAACGCAGCGAAAUGCGAUACGUAAUGUGAAUUGCAGAAUUCAGUGAAUCAUCGAAUCUUUGAACGCAUAUUGCGCUCUCUGGUAUUCCGGAGAGCAUGCUUGUUUGAGUAUCAGUAAACACCUCAACUCCCUUUUCUUUUUUGAAAUGGGAGCUGGACUUGAGUGAUCCCAACACUUUUCUCACUGGAAAGUGGUGGGUCACUUGAAAUGCAGGUGCAGCUGGACUUUUCUCUGAGCUAUAAGCAUAUCUAUUUAGUCUGCCUAAAAAACAGAUUAUUACCUUUGCUGCAGCUAACAUAAAGGAGAUGAGUUCUUGUGCUGACUGAUGCAGGAUUCACAGAGACAGCUUUGCGGCUGACUUUGUAAACUCGAUCUCAAAUCAAGUAAGACUACCCGCUGAACUUAAGCAUAUCAAUAAGCGGAGGA